rnacentral:rRNA from 1 species
UAGGGAAGCUUCGGCAAUGGACGAAAGUCUGACCGAGCAACGCCGCGUGAGUGAAGAAGGUUUUCGGAUCGUAAAACUCUGUUGGUAGAGAAGAACGUUGGUGAGAGUGGAAAGCUCAUCAAGUGACGGUAACUACCCAGAAAGGGACGGCUAACUACGUGCCAG